AUUGAACGCUGGCGGCAUGCCUUACACAUGCAAGUCGAACGGCAGCACGGGGGCAACCCUGGUGGCGAGUGGCGAACGGGUGAGUAAUGCAUCGGAACGUGCCCAGUAGUGGGGGAUAACCAGUCGAAAGACUGGCUAAUACCGCAUACGACCCAAGGGUGAAAGCGGGGGACCGUAAGGCCUCGCGCUAUUGGAGCGGCCGAUGUCUGAUUAGCUAGUUGGCGGGGUAAGAGCCCACCAAGGCGACGAUCAGUAGCUGGUCUGAGAGGACGACCAGCCACACUGGGGCGGAGACACGGCCCAGACUCCUGCGGGAGGCAGCAGUGGGGAAUUUUGGACAAUGGGCGCAAGCCUGAUCCAGCCAUGCCGCGUGCGGGAAGAAGGCCUUCGGGUUGUAAACCGCUUUUGGCAGGAACGAAACGGCGCAGGCCAAUACCUUGCGCUAAUGACGGUACCUGCAGAAUAAGCACCGGCUAACUACGUGCCAGCCGCCGCCGUAACAC
rnacentral:rRNA from 1 species